rnacentral:rRNA from 1 species
AGUGAACGCUGGCGGUAGGCCUAACACAUGCGAGUCGAACGGCAGCACAGUAAGAGCUUGCUCUUACGGGUGGCGAGUGGCGGACGGGUGAGGAAUACAUCGGAAUCUACUUUUUCGUGGGGGAUAACGUAGGGAAACUUACGCUAAUACCGCAUACUACCUACGGGUGAAAGCAGGGGAUCUUCGGACCUUGCGCGAUUGAAUGAGCCGAUGUCGGAUUAGCUAGUUGGCGGGGUAAAGGCCCACCAAGGCGACGAUCCGUAGCUGGUCUGAGAGGAUGAUCAGCCACACUGGAACUGAGACACGGUCCAGACUCCUACGGGAGGCAGCAGUGGGGAAUAUUGGACAAUGGGCGCAAGCCUGAUCCAGCCAUACCGCGUGAGUGAAGAAGGCCUUCGGGUUGUAAAGCCCUUUUGUUGGGAAAGAAAAGCAGCAGGUUAAUACCCCGCUGUUCUGACGGUACCCAAAGAAUAAGCACCGGCUAACUUCGUG